rnacentral:rRNA from 1 species
UACGUAGGCAGCGAGCGUUGUUCGGAAUUACUGGGCGUAAAGAGUGUGUAGGCGGUGCUCUAAGUUCGGUGUGGAAUCUCCCGGCUUAACUGGGAGGGUGCGCCGGAAACUGGAGUGCUCGAGCGUGGGAGAGGAAAGCGGAAUUCCUGGUGUAGCGGUGAAAUGCGUAGAUAUCAGGAGGAACACCUGCGGUGUAGACGGCUUUCUGGACCAUUGUUGACGCUGAGACACGAAAGCGUGGGUAGCAAACAGG